rnacentral:rRNA from 1 species
UCUAGCAUGAAGUCAGACAAGUGCACCCGCUGAAUUUAA